rnacentral:rRNA from 1 species
CCUACGGGUGGCAGCAGUGGGGAAUAUUGGGCAAUGGAGGAAACUCUGACCCAGCAACGCCGCGUGAAUGAUGAAGGUCUUCGGAUUGUAAAGUUCUUUUCUAAGGGAAGAAGAAAGUGACGGUACCUUAGGAAUAAGCCUCGGCUAACUACGUGCCAGCAGCCGCGGUAAUACGUAGGAGGCAAGCGUUAUCCGGAAUGACUGGGCGUAAAGGGUGCGUAGGUGGUUUGACAAGUUGGUAGCGUAACUCCGAGGCUCAACUUCGGAAUUGCCUCUGAUACUGUUCGGCUAGAGAGUAGUUGCGGUAGGCGGAAUGUAUGGUGUAGCGGUGAAAUGCUUAGAGAUCAUACAGAACACCGAUUGCGAAGGCAGCUUACCAAGCUACUUCUGACGUUGAGGCACGAAAGCGUGGGGAGCAAACAGGAUUAGAUACCCGUGUAGUC